UACGUAGGGUGCGAGCGUUAAUCGGAAUUACUGGGCGUAAAGCGUGCGCAGGCGGUUCUGUAAGUCAGAUGUGAAAGCCCCGGGCUCAACCUGGGAACUGCGUUUGAAACUACAGGACUGGAGUAUGGCAGAGGGGGGUAGAAUUCCACGUGUAGCAGUGAAAUGCGUAGAGAUGUGGAGGAAUACCGAUGGCGAAGGCAGCCCCCUGGGUUGAGAUUGACGCUCAUGCACGAAAGCGUGGGGAGCAAACAGG
rnacentral:rRNA from 1 species